rnacentral:rRNA from 1 species
ACGAAGGGGGCGAGCGUUGUUCGGAUUUACUGGGCGUAAAGGGCGCGCAGGCGGCUCAUUUUGUCAGGCGUGAAAGCCCCGGGCUCAACCUGGGAAUGGCAUUUGAUACUCUGAGGCUGGAGUACGGGAGAGGAGAGUGGAAUUCCCAGUGUAGAGGUGAAAUUCGUAGAUAUUGGGAAGAACACCGGUGGCGAUGGCGGCUCUCUGGACCGUAACUGACGCUGAGGCGCGAAAGCGUGGGGAGCAAACAGGA